GUUUGUUUGAAGUUAUAAAGAAUUUAACCUGCCCCCUGAUUAAUUAUUAAAGGGCCGCAGUAUUAUAACUGUGCAAAGGUAGCAUAAUCAUUAGGUUUUUAAUUGAAAUCUCGUAUGAAUGGUUGGACAAAAGAAAAACUCUCUUUAUGUUAAGUUUUGAAUUUAACUUUUAAGUGAAAAGGCUUAAAUAUUCUAAAGGGACGAUAAGACCCUAUAAAACUUUACAUUGUCAUUAAUUUUGAUUGAAUUUAUAAAAUAAAAAUUUUAUUUGAUUAUUUGUUAUGUUGGGGAGACAUAAGUAAAAAUUUUUUAACUGCUUUGACAAUUAUACAAUUAUUAAUGAAUAAGUAGAAGAUCCUUUUUUAAGAUUAGUAGAUUAAGUUACUUUAGGGAUAACAGUGUGAUUUCUUUUGAGAGUUCUUAUCGAAAAAGAAGAUUGCAACCUCGAUGUUGAAUUAAAAUAUCUGUAUAAUGGAGAAGUUAUAUAAGAAGGUCUGUUCGACCUUGAAAAUUUUACAUGAUUUGAGUUCAAACCGGCGUAAG
rnacentral:rRNA from 1 species